GUGGGGAAUAUUGCACAAUGGGGGAAACCCUGAUGCAGCCAUGCCGCGUGUGUGAAGAAGGCCUUCGGGUUGUAAAGCACUUUCAGCGAGGAGGAAAGGUUGGUAGCUAAUAACUGCCAGCUGUGACGUUACUCGCAGAAGAAGCACCGGCUAACUCCGUGCCAGCAGCCGCGGUAAUACGGAGGGUGCAAGCGUUAAUCGGAAUUACUGGGCGUAAAGCGCACGCAGGCGGUUGGAUAAGUUAGAUGUGAAAGCCCCGGGCUCAACCUGGGAAUUGCAUUUAAAACUGUCCGGCUAGAGUCUUGUAGAGGGGGGUAGAAUUCCAGGUGUAGCGGUGAAAUGCGUAGAGAUCUGGAGGAAUACCGGUGGCGAAGGCGGCCCCCUGGACAAAGACUGACGCUCAGGUGCGAAAGCGUGGGGAGCAAACAGGAUUAGAAACCCCGGUAGUCC
rnacentral:rRNA from 1 species